rnacentral:lncRNA from 1 species
AAAAUAAUACCAGAAAAAUAAUUAAAAUGGCCUCAUUACAACCCAAAACCAAAUAAUAAUAUUAAUAAGAUAAAACUUAUAAAAAAAUAAAUUGGCUACUUAUUGCAAUUAAAAGAAACAGAAACAGUAGUGUGGCCAUCUCCGAGUCCCUCGCAGCUCCAAACCAUCUAAGCUUAGGGAUUACCUGCACAGUUAGAAACGGGGUGAGUUUACGAAAACUCAGUGUGUAAUCCCAAUAACAAACAAACAGUAAAUAACACGGUAUCAGUACAAUCUGGGCCAAAGCCCUAUUUAGUCUUGACAUAUACCUGGCUGAAUCCUUUCCAUAAAUCAUAUCACUAGGCCGAAGCCUUUUCAUAAAUCAUAUCAUUGGGCCGAAGCCUUUUCAUAAAUCAUAUCACUGGGCCGAAGCCUUUACCAUAAACGGUAUGGCCCUUAGGCCCAUUUCAAUAUCACAUGUAAUGUCAAUGGAUGUAUGCAAGCCUAUUUCAAUAUCACAUGUAAUGUCAAUGAAUGUCUGCAAGCCCAUUUGGGGAGACUACUCGACCCACCAUCCGCUACUCUCCACCCUUACCAACCAAGCUCUCCAUGUGGGGAAUAACUCAAACCACCCAACCAAACUCUCCAUUGGCAGCAUAUCUUCUUUAUCAUAUAACUGGAGGCCUAGCCUCUUUUAAUAAUUGGGGCAAAGCCCUUUCUGAUAAACUGGGGCAAAGCCCUUUUCAGUAAACUGGGGCGGAGCCCUUUUAGCACUUCCUCCAUCAAUAUAACCCAUAUCCCAUGCAAUAUGUCAUGUAUGCAGAAUGUCAUGCCCAUAUUGGAAUCAAACAAUCACAGUCAAGUCAUCCAUAUCACCAACAUAUAUUCACAAUCAAAUCCGUCGACCACACAGUCUAAGUCAGUCACUUGCCCACAAGGGCAAAACAGUCAUUUUUCAUAUUAUAAGGGUAUUUUUGUAAUUUUACCAAAAAUUAGGGUUUUCCAUGUUCAUUAAAAUUGUCAAUAUUUUCGAGUGUUUAAACAAAGAUCUUUAACCCAUUUAUCAAAUUCGGGCUUUUGGGCUCAAAACCCCUAAUGGGCCUUACGAAUGUUGAUUUAGCCCACUAAGCCUGCUUAACCCAAAUUUUACAACAAUACUAACCGUGUUAACAUGCAACUUUUCCAAAUUCCAUUUUCUAUCAAUUUUACCCAAAUGGGCCCAAAAGCCCAUUUGGCCCAAUUCUAGCCCAUUGAGGCCCAACUUACCAUCAUGCACAAAAUUGAGUUCUUACCCGUUCCAUCGAUCCAAACACCGAUCUUAUCGUAUUUAUCGCAUCUAUACCCACACGCAACAUUACAGGUUCCCGAAAUACCGGUAUUUUAGCAUUUCAGCUUCUCAGCAGAUAUUAAUCUGAGCUAUUACGAGGGUUAGUACACACCUAUUAUGGGUUGAAGUUGAAACGUUUCCAUAAUCAAUCACCUACGAUAACCACCACUUGUCACUCAAACUUAACUAAUCCAAUAUCAAUAUAUGUAAAUCAUAAGCACAUCAGUCAUACGGAACAUAAGGGCAUAUUCGUCAUUUUACCAUACAAGGGUAUUAUGGUCACUUUACCCUACAGGGAAUUUACGGUCUUUUUACCUAUUAGGGGUAUUUUAGUCAUUUCAUCCUACAAGGGUGUUUUGGUAAAUAUACAAACCAAGGGUAUUUUUGUAAUUUUGUAAAUCAAGGGUAUUUUGGUAAUUUUACAAAUUGAGGGUAUUUUGGUAAUUUCACAAACCAAUGGUAUUUCAGUAAUUUUACAAACUAGGGGUAUUUUGGUAAUUUUACAAACUAGGGGUAUUUUGGUAAUUCUAUCCUACAGGGGUAUUUUAGUAAUUUCACAAUCGAGGGUAAAACGGUAAUUUUGUAACUGAGGGUAAAAUGGUAAUUUUUUAAAUCGAGUGUAAAACGAUAAUUCUAUAAAUCGAGGGUACUUUGGUAAUUUUACAAGUCGAGGGCAUUUCAAUAAUUGGUAAACUAAAGUAUUCUAAACAGGGAUAACAAUACAAAUGGCCCUAAAGCCCAUUCUCGGCCCAAAUGGGCCCACACGCUCGUGUGGCCCUUUUAGCCCAAAUCUAGCCACGAAUAUGAGAUUCACCUAGCCUAGUCCAAUAUUUACUACACCAUCAAACAACUUAUCGAAUUGGGCCCGUAGGCCCAUUGGGCCCACAUAGCCCCUUUCGGCCCAUCGCGGCCCGAAGUAGCCAUCUUACAGCUAGAGUAGUGAGAAAUACACACCUGAUAGGAGACUGGAGUUAAUCCACGCUCCGAGCACUCUUAGCCGACGCCCAACCCAAACGAGCACGCCAUACAACGAAAGGGAUCAGCCAAGAAAGGUACCUUUACUCUCCUCAUGGUUCCCUCUAUUUAAAGCCAGCUUCGCAUCCACUCUUAUGUUAGCUUCCCGAUAUGGG